UGCCAGCCGCCGCGGUAAUACGGAGGGUGCAAGCGUUAAUCGGAAUUACUGGGCGUAAAGCGUGCGUAGGUGGUUUAUUAAGUCAGAUGUGAAAGCCCCGCGCUCAACGUGGGAAUAGCAUUUAGAACUGGCAGACUAGAGUCUUGGAGAGGGGAGUGGAAUUCCAGGUGUAGCGGUGAAAUGCGUAGAUAUCUGGAGGAACAUCAGUGGCGAAGGCGACUCCCUGGCCAAAGACUGACGCUCAUGUGCGAAAGUGUGGGUAGCGAACAGGAUUAGAUA
rnacentral:rRNA from 1 species